UGGAAUCGCGUUAACGUUUCAUCAAGCUCGCAAAUACGAGAUAGGACCCGAACAAAUAGAAUGUUUAGCGGAAUCUGUUGGCAAUCCAUUGACAUUGUUAACGUCAUGGUCGAAGAUCGCGCUUGAACAGGUGCAAACGGGCUACCGGAGGCCAUGGACGCAACGUUAUUAUUGUUUAUGAAAUCGAAUGUAUUAAGUGGAUUGCUUCGUAAUAUAAAUACUAAGCAACUGUCCACUUUUGAACCAGUGAUUUUCGUGCAGUAUGAGCUUUGAACACAAGCAGACGAGUAUACGGCCCGCCUGACGAUGAGUAGUAACCGUCACCCAUGAAAGUCAGCAAUGCCAGGGACAGAGCCAAGCCGCUGCCUACCGUUAAGGCCAGCAAUAAAAGAUUUUCAAAUUGAAAAGUCCAUGUGCAACAAAAAUAAAAUACGCCGUGCCUGGACCUGACCACGACUUCGCCGCGUGACUGCGAAACCGACUGAAGGAUUACCGGUGUGGAAUUCGACAAGUAUGGUUACCAGCCUGCUCUUUGUGUUAAAGCUGAAGACAUCUGAAGAACUAUUGGAUUUGAUGGAUCCGAUAGGUAUCCGUGAUGUCGUAUAUAAGGCCUCGAGAUGGUGACUGACUUCUGGUAGGAUUCGGGCGGCAGUCAGCGGCGGCAAUGAUAAGGUGAUUGUCAUGACGCAUAACUUUAUCAAAGUAUCGUUCCGACGUUGAUUUCAUGUGUUCGCAGAUCGAUUAGAGGCCCAGGUCGACGUGUAGGUCGUCGCUCCUACGAACCACGGAGCUCCGACUGCUAAACUGAAAAAGCGGGAUUGUACGAAUGGGAGGAUGUCUAUGUGUGCGCGGGCCGCGUGAGCGAACACCACACUCGUAUUAUAGAAUAAAUUCUGCUGACAAUAAACGCGGCGCGGUUAUGGACUGAUUUUAUAUGUGGGCGGAAUAUCAUCGAUGCAUUCAGAGUGACUCCCAGGUACUUGAGCUUUCUGGCUUAGGAUAUUGGUUGGCCAAAGAAGGAUACCGAGGUGACCCACAAGCCAUAUCGAAUGAGUAUACGGAAAAACUUUAUAAAUUUACUUCGGACUGCUAUUCAAGAAAUAUCCACAACAGUAGGAUACAAAGAAGAGCAUUUGAAAAGUACUUAUUAAAAAAAUCCAAUAUUGAAUACAUUUGAAAGAAAUUUAAAGUUAAAGAACUUAAACAACAAAGUAAAAGUAAAAAAUAAAAGAUAAUUUUAUCCCCAUUUGUCAAAGUAUUCAUAUCUUAUAAAUCAAAUUCAUCUUAUUUCAUUCAUAUAUUUAUCACUGUAUUUUUUUUAUAACAGAAUAUUUAAAAGAGUAGGCUGUAUGGUACGAUAACUUUGCCUUUCCGAUUGUAAUUUGUUUAUGGUCCAAUGCGUCUUUUCAUAGAUUAUACACAUUCAUAAUUGAGAGUAGGGAUGGCGAUUCUUUACGAAAAAGAUCGAUUUUAAUACAUCGAUUCACAAAAAAAUCGAGAUCCAAAAUAUCGAUUCCUUAAAAAUCGAUUUGUUUCAAGUUUGCAUUUACAAUGUAAAUAUAAGUCCAUUUUAUGAAAAACAAGAAAAAUACCAUAAUAAAUGUCUUAUCGGUAAAA